ACGCAAAAAGAGAGUCUUUAUAAAAUCCGGAAAUUUAAGUCUCUCUUUAAUUCUGUGUUAGAUUUUAUACAAAGCGUACGCAUUUCCGGUUAUGUUUUGACUGUUUCAUGAUUUUUGAAAGAGAAAUUCAUAGGGAUAAUUGAAUGAUUUAACGUGUAAAAUGAAUAACAGAGGGUUUGAUAAUUCACCUAGUGGAUAUUCUAAUUCACCAAGGGGAUAUUCUCCGUACAGUUUAUCAAACAGAAGACAUGGAAACGGAGUAAAUCAGACGGGAUACGGUCCCUCGGCGUGGGGGUCACCAUCUCCAGGCCCACGGACGACUUCAUACCCAAACAGAAGACCGUCCGUGUCACCAAGGCAUCACCAAUUUAGUCCGAGGCACCAUGGUUUUAGUGAUAGUUUUACUCCGUCAAAUUAUAGGACCUAUAGCCCGAAAGAGCACCAUUUCAAAACCCCCAACACAAGUUUUAUCCCUUUUUCUUCACCUAAUUCAGGUGGAUAUAGGGGAAGGGGAAGCGGGAGAAAAUAUCAUAAAACAUUUCAGAACCAAUGGAAGGAUAAGUCGUGUAACCCCGGAGGAAGUCAAAAUAUCGAAGAUUAUUACCACCCAGAAAUGUUACAAGACCCCUGGAAAUUUUGCUCUCCCGUGCCAGUUUCUAAAGCUUGAAAACUAUUUGGCAGUUAUCUCAGGUUUAAAUAUUUUCGGAUGGAAAUUGGAGAAAUAUUAAUUAGUUUUGAAAUCAGAAGUAACAGCAUAGUUACAAGCUGGCAGCACCUCUUGCAGCUAAAACUUCCAAAUUUUUUGGGGAUGUUUGAGAAAAUCUUACCACGAUACCGUGAUAUACUUAAAAACACAAGAAAGUGAAUUUUUACAAAGAUGUCGCUAAGUCCCUGACAACAAUGCCUUGGAAUAUGUACAUAUACGUCUAUCAGUGAAAUAUGAUUAUUCUUUUGGAGAAUCAAUUCUUGGAAAUUUAGGUGAAAGUUCCAGAUAAUAAAACAUUGUCUUGUGACAUGAAUUAAAAUAAGUAUAUCUGUGGUGUUUAGAUAUUUGAGAAUUGGAAGUUUAUUCGCAAGACUAUAAUGCUUCAACCUUCGCCUUUUCAUGAGUUUACAUUUUAUCAGACAAAGUGCGAGGCAUAUUGUCUUUUUAGUAUAUUUUCAUGAUUAUAGAAUGAAAUUUGUGAAUUUCCUGUUUUUAUUUUGUAUUGUUUAAAAUGAAUUUGAAAAGUUUU